AGAGUUUGAUCCUGGCUCAGGACGAACGCUGGCGGCGUGCUUAACACAUGCAAGUCGAGCGGUGUUAAGCGAGAAGUUUACUUUUUGCCUAACCUAGUGGCGGACGGGUGAGUAACGCGUGGAUAACCUGCCCAUUAGACCGGGAUAACGCUGGGAAACCGGUGCUAAUACCGGAUACGUUCAUCCGAUCGCCUGAUCGGAUGAAGAAAGGAGCAAUCCGCUAAUGGAUGGGUCCGCGUCCCAUUAGCUAGUUGGUGGGGUAACGGCCCACCAAGGCAACGAUGGGUAGCCGGCCUGAGAGGGCGACCGGCCACACUGGAACUGAGACACGGUCCAGACUCCUACGGGAGGCAGCAGUGGGGAAUCUUCCCCAAUGGGCGAAAGCCUGACGGAGCAACGCCGCGUGAGCGAAGAAGGUCUUCGGGUUGUAAAGCUCUGUCCAGGGGGAAGAAGGAUGACGGUACCCCUGGAGGAAGCCCCGGCUAACUACGUGCCAGCAGCCGCGGUAAAACGUAGGGGGCAAGCGUUGUCCGGAAUUACUGGGCGUAAAGGGCGUGUAGGCGGCGAAGCAAGUCAGGAGUGAAACCCAGCGGCUCAACCGCUGGCUGGUUUCUGAAACUGUAUUGCUUGAGUGCAGGAGAGGGGAGUGGAAUUCCCAGUGUAGCGGUGAAAUGCGUAGAUAUUGGGAGGAACACCAGUGGCGAAAGCGGCUCCCUGGCCUGUAACUGACGCUGAGGCGCGAAAGCGUGGGUAGCAAACAGGAUUAGAUACCCUGGUAGUCCACGCCGUAAACGAUGGGUGCUAGGUGUUGGGGGUAUCGACCCCCGCAGUGCCGCAGUUAACGCAAUAAGCACNCCUCCUGGGGAGUACGUCCGCAAGCCGGAAACUCAAAGGAAUUGACGGGGGCCCCCACAAGCGGUGGAGCAUGUGGUUUAAUUCGACGCAACGCGAAGAACCUUACCAGGUCUUGACAUCNCCCGCCAGCCAUGAAACAUGGUCUUUCCCUUACGGGAACGGGUAGACAGGUGGUGCAUGGUUGUCGCCAGCUCGUGUCGUGAGAUGUUGGGUUNNGUCCCGCANCGAGCGCAACCCCUACCUCCCAUUGCCAGCNCGUAACGGUGGGNACUCUAAAGGGACUGCCGUUGACAAAACGGAGGAAGGUGGGGAUNANNUNNNNNNNNNNNNNNNNNNNNNNNNNNNNNNNNNNNCGUGCUACAAUGGCCGGUAACAGACGGAGNCGAACNGCGAGGUGGAGCAAANCCCACAAAGCCGGUCCCAGUUCGGANUGCAGGCUGCAACUCGCCUNCAUGAAGUCGGAAUCGCUAGUAAUCGCAGGUCAGCAUACUGCGGUGAAUACGUUCCCGGGCCUUGUACACACCGCCCGUCACACCACGNAAGUCGUCAACACCCGAAGCCGGUGANCUAACCUUAUAGGAGGCAGCCGUCGAAGGUGGGGUCGGUAAUUGGGGUGAANUCGUAACAAGGUANCCGUAUCGG
rnacentral:rRNA from 2 species